ACUUCCUUUGCCCCAUUAUCUUCAAAACGCUUACUGACGCUUAGUUUGGAUUCCGCCAGCGCCACUCAGCUCCUGACCUCGUUACAGCCUUUGUCCAAACAUGGACAAAAGAGGAGGCGAGCAACCUUAUCAGCUUUUCCUGCCACCUUCAGAUUUCUGCAUAUGUUCAAAGAUUCGUGUAUGAGAACCCUCAGCUCCCUCUGUUACUGCUAUUCCUUUAAAGUGUCUGCACUACAAUGGGCGCAUCUUGGAUGACUUCUGGAGACCACAAAAUGAGACCGAGGUUGCUGCAAUUGAGGGAGUGGUGCGAUGGGGACACAGGCAGAGGAUUCCAGGGUCCCUCUCUGAAAACAUUCUACAGUGUGACAUUUGUCCCCCUUUAUAAAGCAAUUGAGAAAAUACACACAAUAAAAGCAUGUGUUCAUUGGCACAGGUUAUAUAUUAGGCCUAAGCCCUUGGUGGGCCAUUUUUGUGCUGCUGGGCAUGUGCCUGGUCCCAGGUCUUUUUAAUUCUUUCAUGGGAUGUGGGCAUCAGUGGCAAGGCUGGCAUUUG